rnacentral:rRNA from 1 species
GACGAACGCUGGCGGCGUGCUUAACACAUGCAAGUCGAGCGGUAAGGCCCUUUCGGGGGUACACGAGCGGCGAACGGGUGAGUAACACGUGGGUGACCUGCCCUCAGCUCUGGGAUAAGCCUGGGAAACCGGGUUUAAUACCGGAUAUGACUCCAUGACGCAUGUUGUGGGGUGGAAAGCCUUGUGCGGCUGAGGAUGGGCCCGCGGCCUAUCAGCUUGUUGGGUGGGGUGAUGGCCACCAAGGCGACGACGGGUAGCCGGCCUGAGAGGGCGACCGGCCACACUGGGACUGAGACACGGCCCAGACUCCUACGGGAGGCAGCAGUGGGGAAUCUUGCGCAAUGGGCGAAAGCCUGACGCAGCGACGCCGCGUGAGGGAUGACGGCCU